AUGUUAAGUAUCGUGCUGUGUUCAGGGUUGUUUAGGUUCAGGGUUUUGUUGUGCUCAGGGUUGUGUUGUGUUCAGGGUCGUGCUCUGUUCAGGGUCGUGCUUUGUUCAGGGUCGUGCUGUGUUCAGGGUCGUGCUCUGUUCAGGGUUGUGUUGUGUUCAGGGUCGUGCUCUGUUCAGGGUCGUGCUGUGUUCAGGGUGGUGCUUUGUUCAGGGUCGUGUUGUGUGUGUGUCGAGGUGGUGUCCAGCAAACGAUGUGUUGAGACCAGGAAGCAGAGCUGCUGUCUUACACACUUCUCUGCGUUUUCUUUAGAACAGUCACCCACCCAAAACCCCAUAGAGACUGUGUCUGUCCCCCGACCACCUACAUUAUUUAAAGAAAUAAAAACAAGAGGAGUUCAACAUAAAAAUCUAAUAACAAUUAAAACUAACUCCUCAGUAGCACAAAAUAAGAGAAUGAAAUGUGGGCUGUUAAAUAUCAGGUCUCUGUCCUCUAAAGCUGUUUUAGUGAAUGAAUUAAUAUCAGAUUAUGAUAUUGAUUUACUUUGUCUUACUGAGACCUGGUUGUCCCACGAGGAGUAUGUUAGCCUAAAUGAAUCCACCCCCCCCCCCCCCAGUCAUAUUAAUACUCACAUUCCUCGAGGCACAGGCCGAGGAGGUGGAGUAGCAGCCAUAUAUGAUUCGAGCGUUUUAAUGGACCCUAAACCUAAACUAAAUUAUAAUUCAUUUGAAAGCCUUGUUCUUAGUCUUUCUCACCCAAACUGGAAAACACUGCAGCCAGUUCUAUUUGUUAUAGUGUACCGCGCUCCUGGACCGUAUUCUGAUUUUAUAUCUGAAUUCUCAGAGUUUUUAUCAAGUUUAGUCCUUAAAUCAGAUAAAGUAAUUAUUGUAGGUGAUUUUAAUAUUCAUGUGGAUGUUAACAAUGACAGCCUUAGUAAUGCAUUUAUAUCAUUAAUAGACUCAAUUGGCUUAAAUAAACCAACUCAUUGUUUUAAUCACACUCUUGACCUUGUUCUAUCAUAUGGCAUUGAUAUUGAACAUUUAAUAGUCUUCCCACAUAAUCCUUUCCCUAUCUGA
rnacentral:lncRNA from 15 species